rnacentral:rRNA from 1 species
CAGCAGCCACGGGAAUACGUAGGGUGCGAGCGUUAAUCGGAAUUACUGGGCGUAAAGCGUGCGCAGGCGGUUCGUUAAGACAGAUGUGUAAUCCCCGGGCUUAACCUGGGAACUGCAUUUGUGACUGGCGAGCUAGAGUAUGGCAGAGGGGGGUAGAAUUCCACGUGUAGCAGUGAAAUGCGUAGAGAUGUGGAGGAAUACCGAUGGCGAAGGCAGCCCCCUGGGCCAAUACUGACGCUCAUGCACGAAAGCGUGGGGAGCAAACAGGAUUAGAUACCCCGGUAGUCCCUGUCUCUUAUAC